UACGAAGGGGGGCUAGCGUUGCUCGGAAUUACUGGGCGUAAAGCGCACGUAGGCGGCUUCUUAAGUCGGUGGUGAAAUCCUGGAGCUCAACUCCAGAACUGCCUUCGAUACUGGGAAGCUCGAGUCCGGGAGAGGUGAGUGGAACUGCGAGUGUAGAGGUGAAAUUCGUAGAUAUUCGCAAGAACACCAGUGGCGAAGGCGGCUCUCUGGACCGACACUGACGCUGAGGCGCGAAAGCGUGGGGAG
rnacentral:rRNA from 1 species